rnacentral:rRNA from 1 species
GGGGAAUAUUGCACAAUGGGCGCAAGCCUGAUGCAGCCAUGCCGCGUGUGUGAAGAAGGCCUUCGGGUUGUAAAGCACUUUCAGCGAGGAGGAAGGGUAGUGUGUUAAUAGCACAUUGCAUUGACGUUACUCGCAGAAGAAGCACCGGCUAACUCCGUGCCAGCAGCCGCGGUAAUACGGAGGGUGCAAGCGUUAAUCGGAAUUACUGGGCGUAAAGCGCACGCAGGCGGUUUGUUAAGUCAGAUGUGAAAUCCCCGCGCUUAACGUGGAACUGCAUUGAAACUGGCAAGCUAGAGUCUUGUNAG